rnacentral:rRNA from 1 species
UUGACGGAGAGUUUGAUCCUGGCUCAGGACGAACGCUGGCGGCGUGCUUAAUACAUGCAAGUCGAACGAUCCCGGGACUUCGGUCCCAAUGGGAGAGUGGCGAACGGGGGCGUAACACGUGAGAAACCUGUCCCGAAGAUGGGAAUAGCCCAGGGAAACCUGGAUUAAUACCCAAUACCCUGAGAGCGUCGCAUGGCGCACUUAGGAAAUGUUCCGGCGCUUUGGGAGGGUCUCGCGGCCUAUCAGCUUGUUGGUGAGGUAAAGGCUCACCAAGGCAUCGACGGGUAGCUGGUCUGAGAGGACGAUCAGCCACACUGGGACUGAGACACGGCCCAGACUCCUACGGGAGGCAGC